GAUCGUAAUGGACACAUCAAAGUUCAAACACAAGAUAAGCUUUUAAAAGUGUUUCCGGGAAGAACUCAAGAACGCAAAUGGAUCACCUACAAGCGAGAAGAGAAGAAUUAGUGCGCACGUUUAUUAAUCGAAUAUCUUAAGUUUAGUUCUAAAAAUAUAGACCAAAAGUUACUGCACAAUAAAUUACUUAUGCUCAUAAUCCCACUCCUAACAC
rnacentral:lncRNA from 1 species